UACAGAGGGUGCGAGCGUUAAUCGGAAUUACUGGGCGUAAAGCGUGCGCAGGCGGUUCGUUAAGUUCGUUGUGAAAGCCCCGGGCUCAACCUGGGAACUGCAAUGGAAACUGGCGGGCUUGAAUGCGGCAGAGGGGGGUGGAAUUCCUGGUGUAGCGGUGAAAUGCGCAGAUAUCAGGAAGAACACCAAUGGCGAAAGCAGCUCUCUGGGACGGUACUGACGCUGAGACGCGAAAGCGUGGGGAGCGAACAGG
rnacentral:rRNA from 1 species